GUGUCAGCCGCCGCGGUAAAACCAGCACCUCGAGUGGUCAGGAGGUUUAUUGGGCCUAAAGCAUCCGUAGCCGGUUGCAUAAGUUUUCGGUUAAAUCUAUGCGCUCAACGUAUAGGCCGCCGAAAAUACUGUGCAGCUAGGGAGUGGGAGAGGUACACGGUACUCAAUAGGAAGGGGUAAAAUCCUUUGAUCUAUUGAUGACCACCUGUGGCGAAGGCGGUGUACCAGAACACGUUCGACGGUGAGGGAUGAAAGCUGGGGGAGCAAACCGGAUUAGAAACCCCAGUAGUCC
rnacentral:rRNA from 1 species